rnacentral:rRNA from 1 species
GAUGAACGCUGGCGGCGUGCCUAAUACAUGCAAGUCGAGCGACCGCACGCGAACCUUGCUUCUCUGAUGCUAGCGGCGGACGGGUGAGUAACACGUGGAUACCCUACUGAUAAGACUGGGAUAACUUCGGGAACCCGGAGCUAUUAUCCGCUCAUAUUUUGAACCGCAUGGUCCAAAAGUGAAAGAGCGUAUUGCUGUCACUUAUACAUGGAUCCGCGCUGCAUUAGCUAGUUGGUAAGGUAACGGCUUACCAAGGCAACGAUGCAUAGCCGACCUGAGAGGGUGAUCGGCCACACUGGAACUGAGACACGGUCCAGACUCCUACGGGAGGCAGCAGUGGGGAAUCUUGCGCAAUGGGCGAAAGCCUGACGCAGCAACGCCGCGUGAGUGAAGAAGGUCUUCGGAUCGUAAAACUCUGUUAUUAGGGAAGAACAUACGUGUGAGUAACUGUUCACAGCUUGACGGUACCUAAUCAGAAAGCCCCGGCUAACUUCGUG